rnacentral:rRNA from 1 species
GUCGAGGGGCAGCAUGGUGUAGCAAUACACUGAUGGCGACCGGCAAACGGGUGCGGAACACGUACAGAACCUUCCUUCAAGCGGGGAAUAGCCCAGAGAAAUUUGGAUUAAUACCCCAUAGCAUAAUGGAGUGGCAUCACUUUGUUAUUAAAGAUUUAUCACUUGAAGAUGGCUGUGCGGCUGAUUAGGUAGUUGGCGGGGUAACGGCCCACCAAGCCUGCGAUCAGUAACUGGUGUGAGAGCACGACCAGUCACACGGGCACUGAGACACGGGCCCGACUCCUACGGGAGGCAGCAGUAAGGAAUAUUGGUCAAUGGACGAAAGUCUGAACCAGCCAUGCCGCGUGGAGGAUGAAGGUCCUCUGGAUUGUAAACUUCUUUUAUCUGGGACGAAAAAAGGUCUUUCUAGAUCGUCUGACGGUACCAGAUGAAUAAGCACCGGCUAACUCCGUGCCAGCAGCCGCGGUAAUACGGAGGGUGCAAGCGUUAUCCGGAUUCACUGGGUUUAAAGGGUGCGUAGGUGGGUUGGUAAGUCAGUGGUGAAAUCUUCGAGCUUAACUCGGAAACUGCCAUUGAUACUAUCAGUCUUGAAUAUUGUGGAGGUUAGCGGAAUAUGUCAUGUAGCGGUGAAAUGCUUAGAUAUGACAUAGAACACCAAUUGCGAAGGCAGCUGGCUACACAUAUAUUGACACUGAGGCACGAAAGCGUGGGGAUCAAACAGGAUUAGAUACCCUGGUAGUCCACGCC